CCAAACAUAGAAAUCGAGGUGGAGGAUUGCGAGGAGUAUACCGCAACUUUCUCUUUCUAUGUGAUCAGUGGCAAUGAACUCUCCCAAGUCCACAUGGUGAUAGAGAAUCUUAGUCACUGGAGACAUCCCCGAUAAAGGAGGAUGUGACUGUUUUAUGACGAACAAAGACACCUCAGACAGAAGGUGUGUGGGCCAUGAAAGGAACCCAAGUAUAAACCGCCGCAUGACGAUGAGCGGAGACACCUCAGGAGAAGGUGUGAGGGCCGUGAUAGAAGCCCCAGUUCAGAACGCCCCAAAGCCGAUGUGAUGGCUAAAUAUGAGUGGACAGAUGGAUAGCCAAUAAAAUGGCUAUGAUGAGUAUGGAGACAAAUGCAAGAUUGACUUUCAUGGAUAUUGCCCCCAUGUUAAAGAUCAAUGAG